GCGAGGCGGAGCAAAUCUCAAAACCGGUACCCAGUUCGGACUGCAGGCUGCAACCCGCCUGCACGAAGCCGGAGUUGCUAGUAAUCGCGAAUCAGAAUGUCGCGGUGAAUGCGUUCCCGGGUCUUGUACACACCGCCCGUCACACCAUGGAAGUUGGGGGUGCCCAAAGCCGGCAAGCAAAUAUGCUGUCUAAGGCAAAACCAAUGACUGGGGUGAAGUCGUAACAAGGUACC
rnacentral:rRNA from 1 species